CUCAACAACCAGCUGCUUUACCUAUUAAUGCUCCACUUCCACCCUUCCUACUACUAAGGUGUAGAAGACCUAAUGCUAGUGGCAAUAGGAGAACCUGCCCUAUUUGGCUAGAUUUUAACCCUCUAUCCAAUGAACCAGAACCUAAAGCAGCUUGUAAACAUUGUCAUAGACGAUAUCGUUGUGAUUCUAAAGCACAUGGGACAUCCAGCAUGUUAGCACACUCUAAAGUUUGUCUUCAAAAACCUUCUAACAUAUUAAAAGACCCUAGGCAAUUAAACCUUGUAGUAGGUAGAAAGGGUGGUUUUCUAGUUCCUGCAAACCAAAGGUACGAUGUAAAAGAGUGUAGGAAAGUCGUAACAAACUUUUUCAUCCUUUAUGAGCAUGCCCUUAGAGUGGUAGAAGGUGAGGAAUUUAAGAAACUUAGUAAUGAUGUGGCAACUGCUUAUUUGAAAAGAAGACUUAAGAUCAAGAAUGGGUUGUUGGGUGAAGGAGAUCAUUUCCAUAUGAAGUGUCUUGCCCAUAUAUUGAACUUAGUAGUCAUGGACGGGUUGAAAGAUCAAGAUCUAGCAUCCGCAAUGCAGUUAGGUUUGUGAGGUCUUCACCUCAAAGAGCUUUAAAAUGUAAAGAAUGCAUCAAAAUGUCAAGGAUAACGUGUAUAAAAACACUUUUGUCUUGACGUUUCCACUAAGUGGAAUUCAAUGAGUUUGACUUGUUUCUCUUUUGUUUUUUCAAUAAAUUUUAGAAAUUGGACAAGUCUUAAUUGGAGCAGAACCUGGUCAUGUUGGUGUUGCACCAACACCCGAGUCUUCUAUUUAAUUCCAUUUAUUGGAAUGACUUUUUUGAAUAUUUUGGAGUCAAAUAUGACUCAUACUGCACCACACAUGCUUCUGGUUUUUGAAUAUGAUUUGAAAUGAAACUUGAUUGCUUUGCUUGGCUCCAUGGUGAUGUUAGACUUGUUUUAAUGUUGAUACAACAUGAUUGUAAACUUCUGGUUAAAUAGUUGCAUAUUAAUCGUAUGGAGAAGUAGUUGUUACUAAUAUAUUGGGCGACACUAUUGGUUGCAAAACGAAGGGUAUAUUGGUCUACCUUAAUAUGUUAAGAGGAAGUCCGGGUACUAUAUACAAAGGAGGGCAAGCUAAAAUUAACCAAGAGUCAAUAUAAAAACUGGAAAGAUUCCUUGUGUGCAGCACUUGAAAAUGUUCAAGAAUGACAAUGACGCUCCCUAGUUGACACCGUGAAGAAAUACUUUGCUUACGAUAUAGUAUCUUUCAAUAACUUAUUGAACACCUCAAUUUCGGUCUCUAUUUGCAGACCUUAUGCACAUUUUCUUAAAUUUUUAUAAUUCAAUUUUCUACUUCUUCGUUCUUGAUUACCUUUCGAGAUAUUUGUGGAUAUUUUUGAAGUUUCAAUAUAUUCAUUUUAGGGACCAUUCCAAUGUGUAAUAAUGUUACACAUUAGGGAUUAUAAUUGUGGUUUACUCUUUGUUAAUUUUUUGUGAAAUAUUAUUUUUAACUUCA